GGAACCUAAGAACUGGAAGACGACGAAGAAGAAGCGUGGGAAUCCGGCGGCAAUGGCUGGGAUGACUGAACUUACGGGAAGGAGUGCUUCCAAGAUGGGAGACGAAGAAGAAGAAGCCGCUGAAUCCGGCGGCAAUGGCUGGGAUGCUGCGUUCUCGAGAAGAAGCGUUAUUUCUGCAUUCCAAGAAGGACGGCACAAUGUGUCGGACUGUCCGCGUCGCAUUGAACUGGUCCGAUGAGGCUGCUAUUGCACACACAUUGAGGGAACUCCCAUACGGGAACUCGGAAGUAC